GGCUCCGUAGGAGGAGUUCCCUGGUUUCCCAAGAGGUCUUCAGACGCUUCUCCAACUUUUGCACACCGCAUCCAUAUGACGUCCAUGGAACGUCCGGCCAUCCAAACUAGGUUCGUCCGUUUUCGGUCAUUUGCGGACAUUCAAUAGACCGUCUGUAUAGAUCCGUUUUACUGCCGGUCCAAGUGAUUACAUCCAUCGGCUGUCCAUCUUCGGAUCACAGAAAAAGCAGACUAACAAGCUUUCUAGACAACUUCACAUGAAGUACGUUGCCGGAUUAUUUUAUGAAAGAUCGUUGCCCAAACAAAAAAACAUAAGUUAUACGUAAAUCACCAAUGUAUUGCUCGGAUCAUCAUUCAUGGAUAUCGAAAUGGAACAAUUACAAAAUUAUUUGCAACAGCGUAUACUUCUUCCUUUUAGCGUGUUAAAUAGUUUGACGAGAAUUCAGCAGACUAAAACCCUGUGAAAUUAUUCCAUGAAGUUUAUUGCUGAUGAACAUUUGGCCUGCUGAUCGUUAAAUAUUUAUAUUACCGUGGUUUUCUUGCGCUUUUAGCUAAAAUAGCAUAGAUUCUGAUUUUUUUUACAACAAGAAAGAAGUAUUCAUUUACAUACCAGCAUCUCAAUGGCGUCUUCAGUUGUUCAAUCUGGCAAAUAUUUUCUGGUUGAUUUAACUACUGCAACGGACCCUUAUGUUGCAACUGUCCCUGAUUUUUGGGUUAACGAUGGGACACAGUGCUGGUAUCCCAGGACACUUGGGGAGAGGGCUUCAGUGAAGCGUAAAACUCCACAACCAGAUUGGUUUCUUUAUUAGUGUAAGAUCCGGGGAACAUUUGAUUCGUAUGAGGCCUCUCGUGCCAAAGAGAAUAUAGCUGCUUUAAUCUGAUAUCAACUCUGCAUCGGAAAGCCAAACACAACAACAAAUGGGUAAAGGCCAUAGGAAUAAGAGGCCAAGAAAACGAUUUACCGUUGAUGAAUCACACGAUUCCAGCAGUGAUGCAAGUACUGACGGAAUGUACGGGCCCACUCAAUUCGACACUCCUUCUAUUCCUCCGGAAUUGUCUGCAAAUGCUGUUCGAACAACCAGACAAGUUGUUAAUGUACCCACGCAGUUCUUUCAGCAUAACGCAGAAUACAGUCAGUCGUAUUGUUUCGAUUCUCUCGUGUCUGUACCGUCAAUUUCUGACAACACACGAUUUGCAGUAGAACGUUCCAAUGCUAAUGCUCUUGAAAGCCAUCAAUCGACUUCAUUGUUUAAUGUUAACUCUCCAUCGUCAACUGCUGGUUCAUCGUCUGUAGUUAGAAGAGAAAUGGGUGAGCGUGAUCAAGUUGUUGUUGCCCAGCCAACUAACACGGAAGGUUUUGAGAAAAUUGUAAAAAAGUUGGUGAGGGAAACAUUGAAACAAAACAAAACAUUAACAAAUCUUAUGGAAAAACUGGUCAUAAUGGAUGGAAAGUUGAAUAAUCUCACCCUACCUGCGGUUUUACCAGCAGCAGAAAAUCCCACUUUUUUAAUGGCACCCUUGAAGGAAGUAGAAGAAAUCAAAGAGUUGGAACAACAAUUACUGGAAAAAGACAAUUAUUAUCAAUUGGUCAGGAUGAUCCGUUCACUACCCGUGAAGAAUUUUUGCGACCAACAAUGCAGUUGAAAACCAUUCAAAUUGCAAUUUUUUUUGGAUGAAUGCGUUUCUUAAUUGUUCAUAAAAGCGAUUAAUGUGCGCCAAAAACGCUAUCUUUACGCCAAAUGGCCGUUUAUGAGUUAGAUAUUGGUGCAUUUUUUUCAAAAGGAUAUAUGCGUUCAAAAAUGAAUUUAAAAUGCAUUUAAUCUGCGACUGUAUUUUAAAUGGAAGUCAUCUGGCCAGAUUUUCAAUUUACCAUUUCCUUACCCAACCUUAUAUAUUUAAAUGAAUAGAGAAAGCUGUUUUCUAUUGAAUAAGAAUUGAGAUAAACAAAUAUAAACAGAAAACCA
rnacentral:misc_RNA from 1 species